rnacentral:lncRNA from 1 species
AUGGAAUCUGUAGCCACACUUGUUACAAGAAAAGGCCAAAAGUGUGUAUUUCUGGAAUCUGUGCUGGAGGAAAAAGCACUUAUUUCACACCCUGAUCCUAAAGAUAAUGAAGAUAAUCCAUGUGGUGGAAAGUACCCAGUGAAAGGCUUGGGGAUGCUUCCUACUUGGUGUAACUUAUGCCCGGUUCAGGCAGAAAAUACUCUUGAAGGAACAGGUCAAUCAUAUUUAAUGCUAUUAUGUCUAAUCUGUUUCAACUACUUCAAUCAAAUUUCAAUCCAGACAGAAAGAGAGACAAUCUUCUCAUUCAUUACCAAAGUGUCUUGCUCACUAUAACCAAUGUAUAAAUCACUGCUGGGCAAGAUGGUGGGGAUCUCUCAGAGGUUUAUUAAGAGAGAUGAUUAUACUGCUUCUCCAGAACAAAAUCAUAACUUACUCUGAUGGUGUCAUUAACAAUUUGCUCUCUUUUUCAAGAAUUUAAGGCUGUUCUUUUUAAAAGAACAUAGAUCAGUUGAAGAUAGACUUGGACAGGACAUGCUGGAGUUUUUUGUUUCCAAGUUUUAUCCUCAGCUCAUAUUUCUUACUCUUAGUCAGACAGGUGAAAAAUAAAACUGUCUGUUUAUAUAUGAGUCAGUUAUACAUAGUUCUGGGUAUGCAUAAUUUCUGUAAUAUAAAUAUUUACAUAUUGUGGCAGUAUUUCCUAUUUCUGUCAUAUUUCUAAUGAACCAUUUUUAUGCAUUUCACAAAAUCACAGAAUAUCCUGAUUUGGAAGGGACCCACAAGGAUCAUGAAGUCCAACUUCUAAUUUACUCCUAGAUAUAGUGAGGAGCAUGAUAGAUUUGAGUGUUCUAAAUUAUCUAUCAGCAAGCUCUUCUAUAAAAUAUUUUUUCUUUUAAAUGCUGAUUUUUUAAAAAAAUUCUUUUAAAUGUUCCAGUUAAAGAAGUGGAAGUGCCUGUCCCUUCUGAGAUCCAUCGGGUGGAUGCCAGUCAGUGUUUGAAGCAUUUGGACCAUACUUCUCAUGAAGCUUCUGAUGAACUAAAUUUGAAAGCAUUUUCUGAGGGAUUAACUUCCACUGAAUCACUUUCCAAGUCAAAUAACUUCUUUCUGAAAUGUGAAAGUGCCAAAUCAGACUCUUUUCACCCAGAAUUUCAGAAAGUGUCUGCAGUUUGCAUCAGCUGCUCAAAAAGUUCCAUUUCAGACCCAGAAUUAGAGCUGAAGCAUGGAGAGGACACAGAUGUCAGUGUCCCAGAAGAGUUUGUCUGUGACAGUGGUGAUGUGU